rnacentral:tRNA from 1 species
GUGUCCGUAGCUUAGUUGGUAAAGCACAUGACUUUUAAUCAUGGGAGCGUGGGUUCAAGUCCCACUGGACACA